rnacentral:rRNA from 1 species
UACGGAGGAUGCGAGCGUUAUCCGGAUUUAUUGGGUUUAAAGGGUGCGUAGGCGGGCUGUUAAGUCAGCGGUCAAAUGUCGGGGCUCAACCCCAGCCUGCCGUUGAAACUGGUGGCCUCGAGUGGGCGUGAAGUAUGCGGAAUGCGUGGUGUAGCGGUGAAAUGCAUAGAUAUCACGCAGAACUCCGAUUGCGAAGGCAGCAUACCGGCGCCCGACUGACGCUGAGGCACGAAAGCGUGGGUAUCGAACAGG